GUGGCAGUGCUUCUGCAGGCAUUACGUCUGAGCAGAUGAACAACUUGGUGUCUAACUUAAACAUGUUGGAACAAGUUGGUGAAAUGAACCGCAUAUUCAUAAGGAGUCAGAAAUUAAACAGUGAGGCUAUAGUGGACUUUGUGAAAGCUUUAUGCAAGGUCUCUAUGGAAGAAUUACGUUCUACUUCAGAUCCAAGGGUUUUUAGUCUCACAAAAAUAGUUGAGAUUGCGCACUACAAUAUGAACCGUAUCAGAUUUGUUUGGACAAAAAUCUGGCAGGUUCUUGGUGAAUUUUUCGUGACCAUUGGCUGCUCUGAAAAUCUUUCAAUUGCCAUAUUUGCAAUGGAUUCUUUGCGGCAAUUAUCAAUGAAGUUCUUGGAGAGAGAAGAAUUGGCUAACUAUAAUUUUCAGAAUGAGUUUAUGAAGCCUUUUGUGAUUGUUAUGCGCAAGAGUAGUGCUGUGGAGAUCAGAGAAUUAAUCAUCAGAUGCGUCUCUCAAAUGGUUUUGUCUCGAGUCAAUCAUGUGAAAUCCGGAUGGAAGAGCAUGUUCAUGGUCUUCACCACUGCUGCUUAUGAUGACCAUAAAAACAUUGUGUUAUUAGCUUUCGAGAUAAUGGAAAAGAUUGUGCGAGACUAUUUUCCUUAUAUAACGGAGACAGAGACCACCACAUUCACAG
rnacentral:misc_RNA from 1 species